GUUUUUCCUUGCGACAAAGUAUUCCCUCAGACCAUGAAGGCAGGAUUCAAAUUCAGAAAUAUUUCUAUCCCUUCCUGACUGAAAGAUCAGGAAAGGCAUAAGAAAUAGUGCAGACAGCAGAAGAGAGGUGACCGUCCCUCUGUACUUGGCACUGGUGAGGCCGUAUCUCAAGUGCUGUGUUCAGUUCUGGGCCCCUCACUACAAGAAGGACAUGGAGAUCCUGGAGCAUGUCCAGAGAAGGGCAGCAGAGCUGUGAGGGGUCUGGAGAACAAGUAUGAGGGGGAGGGAGAGAACUGGGGUUGUUCAAUCUGCAGAAGAGUUCAGGGAAGACCUCAUAGCUCUCUACAGUGACCUGAAGGGAGGUUGUGGUAAGGAAGGGUCGAACUCUUCUCACAGGUAACAGUGUUCAGGACAAGAGGUAACUGCCUCAAGUUGCACCAGAGGAGGUUCAGGUUGGUUAUGAGGAAAGAUUUCUUCUCAGAAAGAGCGGUGCUGCAGUGGCACAGGCUGCACAGGGAGGUGGUGGAGUCACCGUCCCUGGAGGUGUUCCAGAGCCGUGUGGAUGUGGCACUGAGGACGUGGGCAGUGGGCACGGUGGGGGUGGGCCGGUGGUUGGACUGUAUGGUCUUAGUGAUCUUUCCAACCUUAAUGAUUCUAUGAUUCUGUACGUCUGAUCAAGGAGCUGUUCAAAAAAUGUUGCCUCCCAUUUCCUCCUCAGGGUCUUAAAAAGUAAUCAGCCUUGCAUACACACUCUGCAGUCAAAUAUCUCUGUGGCUAGAGCUAUUGCAGUGCUGUGCUGUGUGGUGCAGACACCUUCAUAACACAGCUGCUACAGGUGCAUCCAGUCUCCUCCUCCUCUGUUUGUUUUAAUUUUGCUCUCUUUCUCCUGGAGCCAGACAAAGAGGAAAGUGAAAAGCACCACCCACGACAGACACCAAUGGUAUUGCUUGAUAAAAGGUGCUCCUACAUUGCAGUGAUGGGUGAGAGGUACCUGGAGAAAAUGAAAUUUGACUGACAGCAUCAGUGCUGGAUCUCUCCCCUGGGGUAUUGGCAUUACAGUGCUGAAGGUCCCAUCUCUAAUACAAUAAUAUUUCAUAUACCUGCCAAGCACACUGAUUUGAAUGUAUCCAUUUCCAGCUUUCUGUCACCACCUAUCAUGGUUCAUCACAGUCACUGAUGCAUUAUUAAUAACACUUCCUCUGUAUGGAUGUGGUUGUUUGUAACCCAGAUGGAAAAGGGCUCCACUUGAUCAACAGCAAUCUCAGUGGAGGACACCUUCUGAGGAUGUGGGAGAAAUUCACAAGUCUGCUUUACCAUAUCAGUUGGUCCAAUUCUACUUACAGCUACCUCUUCAGCUGGUCAUGCGCAAUACAGGUGAAGGAUGGGGUGAUGGGGAAGGAGAAAAGGGUUUACACAUUGAAAUACCCCUUCAAGCAAGAGACUGGAAGCAAUUCCGUUAAGAUUAGUAUAUGAAGUGUGUACAGUUGAGUGGUGACUUUACCCCCAAAACACUGCAGGAAAACAGAAAGUUGACAGCUUUGCCAAGCCAAAGUUGUCACUGGGAGGACACCGUGCAAUGUCCUGCAGCAUUUUAGUGAACUGACAGCGUUGUCAGUGGGAUGACAUAAUCCCAUGAUUUCUGACGGGUGAGAUGGGAAAACUUAUGUUUGGUGGCAGAGCAGAGCAAUAAAGAACCUCAGCUGUUAGUGAUGGCUGCUGUCAAAAAAAAAAAAUGAAAAAGAAAAGAAAAGAAAAGAAGAUUAGUCUAACCAGAAGACCAUUGGCAUGGAAAUACAUGUUGGGGGCACUGACACUGAAUCGCUACUUCAGAAAAUAGCAAGGGAAGAGCACUAUUUUAAAAGCCCUCUGUUUCUCCUAACACUGGAAAUGGCUGAUGACUCUCCAGGAUGUAAGAAUGUGAUCACCAAUGCUUUUUUCAGUGUAGAUUCUGGUGCUAAUAAACUUUCUUAAUCUAUGAUUUGCUUCCUUCCAACCACCAUCUUCCUUUCAUGAAGAUGAAAUUGCAAGUGAAACUCAAUCCCAGUCCCCAGUAUUGAAAAUGCAGCCCACAUCUUCCUUCUCUGAUUUAUCUGUGGCACAUGGGGCUGUAAUUUUAUCCCUAGGGCCCAGCUCUCUAAAUGGCUAGAUCUUUAUCCAUGGCUGGCUCUCACAGGGAUUCAUGUCACAAUAGAUUUGCAGCCUUACCUGUCCUUUGUUCACUAUAUUCCUAAGCAGAUGGAGUUUCAUGGCCAAUGAAUAAUGAAACCAUCUCUUUCCUAGGAACAAAACAUGAUGGUUGCUACCUUGCUUAGGAAAGGACAAGGCCAAGACAAAUCUGAGAGCUGAAUCCAUUCUUCAGCUCUAAGCCCCAUUUCUCUGGAGAGCACUCAAGAGCCACGUGCUGGGCUUGGCAUGUAUUUAUUUCUUUGACACAGAGCUCGUCUUGUCAGCAUGACAAUAGCAAUUGAUUCUCAUGAGAGCUUUGCAAACCAGCACAUGCAUCAUUAAUGCCUCUCAGUCCGUUCCAAUUUAAGGCAACUGUGAAGGUGAGUUUUCAUUAAGAUGCCAUCCCAGGAAUGGGAGAAGCUGUGCUGAGCCUCAUGAUCCCUUCAGUACCUCCACAGUGAAGCAGAAGCCCCGCAGAGAGGAGUGGUGCACAGGGAUGAGCAUGGUUAAAUCUAUCCCAGCCAUUCAGUGUACUCUGAUGAGGAGGUUUCCAUCCUGGCUCAGGAGCGCUGAGGUUUUGCCCCAGAGCAUGUGAUUCAAUUCCCACCUUUUUUUUUCCUUUCCCCAGGUAGCCACAAAUGUUGUAAAGGGUUGUGAAAUUAGUCUGGCCUCUUUAAAAUCCAGCCACAGCCUUUGCCCCUAUGACCUCAGGGAGAGGGACAAUAAAUUCCAUGGAUAAACUACAUGCAGCAUUUUCAAAAGUAAAAGGUUUCUUUUAUCAGCUCUAAAGCUGCUGCCCUUCAAUUUCAGCCAGUGACCCCUUGUUUCCAUGUUUCAGGACAGGGUUGGGAAAAAAAAAGAAAUAAAAGAAAGGAAGGAGCAAUCAAUUUCUCUUUCCAUCUUUAAUCAUUGUGAAUGUCUCAGACAAGUUUCCCUCUAACUAGUCAUCAUUUCUGGCUAAAGAGACCCUACGAUCUCUCAUCAUCUAUAAAUUCAACGGCACUUCUAUCUUCAUUGACCUCCUCUGGACCUUUCAAUAUCUCCACCAUUUUCCUCACCUGACAAACAACCAUUUCUGAUCCACAGCACAUAGGCAGCUCAGUCCUUCCCGUCAUCCUCUGGAACAGAGCCUGCUGCAGAGUUCAGCCAGUCACUGCCCAUUGCUUCCUUACUGCUUCUUGAAAAAUCAUUUUCAAAGGAAAUCCUUCAUUUUAGGCAGAUAUUCAGUGCAAGAAGAAGCAGAUAAAAUCUCUCUGCAUAAGCCUUAAAGGAAAGCUUUCAAAGUUAGUUAUCACUUCAUUUCUACUUCUAAUGUACAUCCAGAGCUGGAACCUAGUACUGCUAUUGACAAGCCUGGAGGGAAUAAUGGAGUUUUCAUCACUAUGACAUCAACUUUGGAAGCUGAGUGUUGCUUAGCUCUUUUGAGGUUAUUUGCCCUUAAACGAGGCUGUUGUUUUGGGGUCAGGCACAUUAUGGGUCAUAAAAUCAUGGUAUCUUUUGCUAGCAGAGACUGACUGUAUUGCUCUGCGUAUUCUCAUGCUUCAUUGUCCGUUUCUAUAAAAUAGUCAAUGAUGCUGUUGACCUGCUUUGAACAGCAUUGAUGGCUUCUAAUGAGGAGCACUAGAAGAGAGCUGGCUGUUAUUUCAGCAGCUUUCCCUUAGCUCUGGACUGAUGGGCACACAGAAGAGCCACACCUCCAGAACAUUAGGCCUCUCCAUCCCCAUGGGACAAGGAAGCAAGGAUAUAUUCUCCCCUAGCUCUCUCCACUGCUGUCUUAGAGGAUGUAUCCUAAGGCAAUACAUAAGAAUCACAGAAUCAUAGAACUGUUUGAGUUGUAAAGGACAUUUAAAGGUCAUCUGGUCCAACUCCCCUGCAAUGAACAGGAAAGCCACUGAUCUGUCCAAGAACACCUACUCUGUAAGGCCACCCUUCUCUCUUUUCUCCUGAGGUUUCAUUCUACAACACCACCUUUCACAGAAUCAUAGAAUCAUGGAAUCAUACAGUGGCCUGGAUUGAAAAGGAUCGUAAUGAUCAUCUAGUUUCAGCCCCCCCUACCACGGGUAGGGUUGUCAGUCACUAGACCAGGCUGCCCAGAGCCACAUCCAGCCUUUCAUGUUGAAGACACUGAGAGCAUCAUCACGUGCUAUGGAGAUGGCACCUACAGAAACAAAUUGACGUCAUUCACAUCCCAAAGCUGUUUGCAGACUGCCUGCAAACUUGCUCAGUGCUGCAACACUAGACUUACUCUUUCUUUUGAAAUUUGCCGCAGAGCCCUGGCAGCAAAGCACUUAUUUUUUCCCAAGAAACCUGAAGUGCUGAAAAGCAGCUAGAGGGUUCUGCCAACCCUUCCCUUUCAUCUCCUUGCUAAGGCUCCCUGCUUCCCACAAUACAACAGUAACAACGCUCAAACUCACCCAGCUUAACUAGUUUUUGCUGCCAACCUAUAGGACAGCUCUCUGAUAGCACUGAGACAAGAAGAGAAACUUUCUCAGCUAUGCCUGGCAGUUGGAGAAGUGGGUGAAAAUGGUGAAAAUGGAAAUCUAGUGCCGUAUCCCUUUCAUUCUGUGGACCACUGACCUUGAGCAGAAAACAAUCUGCCACUGAGCAACGUGCAACAUGCAAGACCCAUCCCUGAACCUGGUUCAUUGUGGACAUUUCCAUUCCAUUUGUGUGAACUGACUGAGGAAAGCAGCCCCAAGAUCUGGGCAAUGGUGUUAAGUUCCUCAGGCAUGUCUUCUGUCACUGUUGAGCUGCAGUGAAUGCUAGGCCAGAAAACUGGCCACCCUGCACUAACAAAUCCACUCUGUGGAGCCUGGAAGAGGAAGGCUGGCAGAAAACCUCGAAAUAGAUAGCAAGCAGGGAUUACCUGCAUUAUCUUUUCAUGUCUGGAAAAUGAACUUUAAUGGAAAGGUUAUGCAAAAGGAGGUGAAACACCUUUGCUAAGCAACAAGAAUUAACCCCAGUGUUUCCACAGUAGUAUGUUUAAUAGAUAGAAUUCUUUUCAGGCAUGUGGAUUCCUCCAGACCCAGUGAGUGACAUAGUCACUGCACAUCACAGCCAGAUUCACGCUCCAGCUGACACAGCAGGAAGCAAAGUAGGAUGAGCCCAAGAGAGGGGCAAAAAUGUUUUCCUGCUGAGGGUUCACUACUUGGCUGCUUGCUUUGGAGGGAAAGCAUGUAAUGGAGUGCCUCCUAAGGGGUUCCUGUACAAGGCCUCUACCCAAAACUCAGAUAAGCAGCUUUUAUCUGAAGGCAGUGUUUAUUUUUGAGUUAAUUCCUCUCCGUUGGAGGUUGGGGAAGGAUUUGAUCAAUUCAGUCCCAGGAGGAAGUGAGGAGGAUUCUCUCAUUGUGGUUUUAUACAUGGGAUGCUCCAAAGGAGACCUGGUGCUUCCUACCAUACUGCUGGUUGAACUUCAAGCCAGCAAGAGCUGUGAUGCUACAGUUGAGGGAGAUUCAUCCUCCAGUUUUGGAAGGGAGGGAUGAACUCACUGUUAGUUAAAACAAGUGUAAUUGUUUCUGUUAAGAUAGUGAAGAUAUGACCUCAUGUGAGAUCAUGGUCUCAUUGCAAGGCAGAUUAGGAAGGAAACAAACAAGCAUGUUGGGAAGACCACAUGGGAGAAACAUAGAUUGCUUACUAUCACCAUUUACUGUUUCCUAGAAGAGUCUACAGAGUAGACCCACAGGCACAUUAGAAGGAACCAGAAGCAUCGAAAGUAUUAUAAGCCAUCUCCUUAGUUGGUGGAAAACUCACUGGACCAUUACUUGUUAUCUUGAUAUCCUAUAGAAGCAAGGCUAAUAAACAAAGCUAAUAGAACCAUAAUUUUUCCCUGCCCUCAUGUGAGUAUUUUCUGAACCUUCUGAUUGAUACCAGCCAGGUUGGACAGAGAAGGUCAGAAUGUGUGAUAUCCCAACAAGUCAGUGAAAAAAGCUGAGAGAUGGGGAACAGAUGUAAGGAAGAGACACACGAAAAUACCCCAACCACGAGAAGAUCCUGAGGUGGAACUUAGCACUUCACAAAGCACAGAUCCCAGGAACAGUGUGUUGCAUUGGAAAGAGAGCAGAAGAGGAAGGGUAGGAAACAACUACUCAGGAAAACUACAUGAGAUUCAGAAGGCCCAGCUGGCAAAAGGGAAAAAAAAAUGUUGUAUCACACUGCAGUGAAAUGUUAUGUAUGCUUUUCUCACAGAUGUUUCUCAUAGUUGUGUUCAACACUGUCUCACUUCUUUUGGCUGUCCUCUCAUCUGAUUGCAAGAGAUUUUGAUUCAUGCAAGCAUGAGCAGAUGAGAGCCUUUGGUGUCUGGAGGUGUUUUUCACCCAGCCCUUGGAAUUCUGAGGCUGGACAGAGCUUUGAUAAGGGAAAUCAAAAGGAGGCCACACCAUGGCUUCUUAGCUCACUGACCAAUAUGUGAGCUGCCUUACCUUGAAACACAGCUUGGAGUGCUGCAGCCAUUCAUCCUAGGACUAACUGUGUUCAUCUAAAAUGACACCAAGCAGGGAAGCCAAAGUUGGCUUCUGCAAAAGCAAACACUGUGGUGAAUGCUCUUGCAGCAGUGUUACUGGUUGAGACAAGGAGGAUUGUCCCAGCAUAGUGGAAAACAUUACAGGAUUAAAUCAUCUGUGCAUCACUUAUCUGCUCUGAUUUGACAUGAAACAGCAAUUCAUCUUUCCUCUCUGGUCCCGCCUUGAGCUGACAAACAGCAGGAAGAAAGCAUCUUCCUUUAAGCUGUAUGAUGUGGUAAGGACUGGAGCAAGGCAAUAAACAUGGAACCACACCACGAGCUUUUUAGAGCCUGCUUUUCAGAGCAGAACAGCAAUUUAAGACAAACCUCACAGAGUUCCACAGACCUGACAAUGCAGCUAUUUGAAUGCAGCGUGGCUGAUCUUUGCAGUAUGUGUUAUGCUGAAUGCAUUAAAUUGCACUGCUAAUUGACUUCAGAUUUCUAGCUCUCUGACGGGUGGUCAAAUAAGGCAAAAUCCAGCUUUAUAUGUAAUAAGUAUCCAAAAUGUUGUCAUGAGUUAUUCUUUUAUACACUAAACUAGCUGUGAAUAAAUAGACGCAAAUAAACCCU
ensembl:lncRNA